UACAGGGGGGGCAAGCGUUGUUCGGAAUUACUGGGCGUAAAGGGUGCGUAGGUGGUUUUGUAAGUUAGAUGUGAAAUUCCUGGGCUUAACCUGGGGACUGCGUCUGAUACUGCGAAGCUAGAGUACUGUAGAGGAAAGUGGAAUUUCCGGUGUAGCAGUGAAAUGCGUAGAUAUCGGAAGGAACAUCAGUGGCGAAGGCGACUUUCUGGACAGAUACUGACACUGAGGCACGAAAGCGUGGGGAGCAAACAGG
rnacentral:rRNA from 1 species